rnacentral:tRNA from 1 species
AGCUUUUUGAGGCAGAGCGUGAGACUCUUAAUCUCAAGGUUGUGGGUUCGACCCCCAC